rnacentral:rRNA from 1 species
UGGCGGGAGGGCGACUCUCUGGUCUGUAACUGACGCUGAGGAGCGAAAGCGUGGGGAGCGAACAGGAUUAGAUACCCUGGUAGUCCACGCCGUAAACGAUGAGUGCUAAGUGUUAGGGGGUUUCCGCCCCUUAGUGCUGCAGCUAACGCAUUAAGCACUCCGCCUGGGGAGUACGGUCGCAAGACUGAAACUCAAAGGAAUUGACGGGGGCCCGCACAAGCGGUGGAGCAUGUGGUUUAAUUCGAAGCAACGCGAAGAACCUUACCAGGUCUUGACAUCCUCUGACAAUCCUAGAGAUAGGACGUCCCCUUCGGGGGCAGAGUGACAGGUGGUGCAUGGUUGUCGUCAGCUCGUGUCGUGAGAUGUUGGGUUAAGUCCCGCAACGAGCGCAACCCUUGAUCUUAGUUGCCAGCAUUCAGUUGGGCACUCUAAGGUGACUGCCGGUGACAAACCGGAGGAAGGUGGGGAUGACGUCAAAUCAUCAUGCCCCUUAUGACCUGGGCUACACACGUGCUACAAUGGACAGAACAAAGGGCAGCGAAACCGCGAGGUUAAACCAAUCCCACAAAUCUGUUCUCAGUUCGGAUCGCAGUCUGCAACUCGACUGCGUGAAGCUGGAAUCGCUAGUAAUCGCCGGAUCAGCAUGCCGCGGUGAAUACGUUCCCCGGGCCUUGUACACACCGCCCGUCACACCACCAAAAGUUGU